CCACGGCUGCUCUACAAAUGCUGCAACGUCCUGGGCGGGAAUGAGCUUCACAGAGCGUCCCUGUCACUAUAUGAACCAGAAGCUGGAUCCAGGCUGCAGGUCCUGGCGGCUCAGGAAGGCUGCUGGGAGACCAGGCCCAGCAGCCCGAUGGGGAGGGACCUUGGCUUCUCUGCUUGGUGCCGCCUCUCACGCGGGGGCCCUGGACAUGCUGCCAGAUCCUUGAGCUGCUGCAGAACACCGUGGGCCCGCUUACCUGUCUCCCUUCUUUCUGAACACUUGCACCACGACGGGGAAGAGCAGACAUGUUUUUACCGCAUGGCACCAGAAAGAACCAGCUGUUUGCCUUCACUUUGCCUCCAAUUUGGAGUGGAGAUUUCGAAAGCACACUCCCAGGAGAAGACCAGAGGGCAACUCGAAAGAAAGGCGUGAGGGGCCUCGUCCGAGCCAGCUCUGCAGCCCUCCCUGCCCUGCAGUGUGGGGCAAGGCUGACCCGGACUCUGGGACAGUAGGAAGCACACAGUACUGGGAUCGAAAGCCCUCAGCUGGCUGCCCCGGCCAGAGCCUGCUGUGGGACGUCUUGCCAAGAGGCUCUCGAAGGAGGGUUCCUUCACAUUUAUUUGAUGGUGCUUUCUUAUAUGUAUAUUACACCUGAACCUGUACUUCUUACCUUAAAAUAUUUUAUUUCAAAUGAGCGUGGAGUUUUUUCAGUCACUGUGGCAUUCUGACUUGUGGGUCAGAUGAUUUUCAAGCUGUAAAGAUGGAAAGUGAAUAAACAAAUCA
rnacentral:lncRNA from 1 species